CACUUGUGGAGAGCAUGUUAUUUAAAGAAAUAAAAGCAGGCACAAAAUAGCCUCUCUUCAGAUGGGAGCUUCCUUCUCCACUCAGUCCGUGAAUGUUUUGGGGAGCACUCUAUUUAACUUGGCCAGCCCCUGGUUUUGCCGUGAGUAAUAUAUUGGGCUCAAUUUCAAACUCCACACAGCCAUGAUCACUGGAUACUUGAGCUUCCCCAAGCUGAGUUGAUACAGCUGCUCUGCCUCUGGUCACUGGAACUCAGCUCUGGCCUGGAACAAGACCUGAAGGUGUGCAGCCACUUGAGAAGACUUCUGCAACACAACUAUACCAAUGGACAAAGAGAGCGGAGUGUUAAUUCUGAGGCCAGUCUAACCUCAAUGACAAGUGGGCUGGUAAACAGAUGGAAGAAGCUAAUGACUAUUUAGUGUUUUCUUUCAAGGUGAGCAAAAGCCUCUUUGGCUUCUGAGGUAGCAACACCCUUACCUUAAAAGGUUUGAAUUGAU
ensembl:lncRNA